GAUGAAGAACGCAGCGAAAUGCGAUACGUAGUGUGAAUUGCAGAAUUCAGUGAAUCAUCGAAUCUUUGAACGCACAUUGCGCCCCUUGGUACUCCAUGGGGCAUGCCUGUUCGAGCGUCAUUUACACCCUCAAGCUCAGCUUGGUGUUGGGCGUCUGUCCCGCUUCGUGCGCGGACUCGCCUCAAAUGCAUUGGCAGCGGUCUUGCCAGCUUCUCGCGCAGCACAUUGCGCUUCUAGAGGCUUUGGCGGAUCGGCGUCCAUCAAGUACACCCACAGUUUGACCUCGGAUCAGGUAGGGAUACCCGCUGAACUUAAGCAUAUCAAUAAGCGGAGGA
rnacentral:misc_RNA from 1 species